CUCCUGCCUCAGCCUCCCGCUUGCUGAGAUUACAGGCUUGUGCCACCACGUCCGGCUCAGUUGGUCCCUUUUGACAACGGAGGCAGGAGCUCAAUCUCAGUGACCAAUGGGGGAGGGAUGCCAUUCGGUUGCUAUGGCAACAAGACUCUGUCGCCCCCAUCCCCUGCUUCCCACUCUGUUAUUGGGUGGAACCUGCUCUUCCCAGGACCUGCCACACUGUGGUCACGCUUGGUGGCUUCAGUUCUACCUUCGAGUAGGAUGGGGGUUAGACGCUGAGGAACCCCUAGGACCCAAAGCCUUGACAAACAAACUGAUCUCUGGCCAAUCCCACACUGAGAGGAGAGGAGGAGGUCCAUUUGAGAGGUCGGGAGUUCCUUGUCUCCGGCUGAGUUCCACAGCACAGGCCAACAGGCCACCACCUGUGGGUGACGCCAAGGGGAUUCCAAGUCAUGGCACAGCAGAGCCGAGAGCAUAAGGGGCACUGAGCCUCAGGGCCAUGAACAGGAAUAGGAAGCCCAGCCCCGCUGCCCACCAACCUUGCUGGAGCUGGGAGGUCUCCCCUCUGGGCAGACAGAAUAUUCUGGAAGCAAGAGAAGACGGCACCUGCUGGCAGGGCCUGUGCUCAGCCAGGCUACACUCCUGUCCCACACUGUCCUGCUGUCCCUUUCCUCUGGGACUUUGCUUCUCACCUGCCCCUGACUCAACCGCUCCUGGAAGCCGGCCUCCUCCCUUUCUUCCUCCGAGGACCCAGCCUGUGUUGACCCCGACUCUGUUUUCUGCCUUAGCCUUCUGCUAUGCAGAAUAUUAGUCUGUUUUCUUCAAACAAUGCAAAGUUGUUGUUACUCUAACAAGGCCCUAUUCUAAGCAUAAUAUUGAUGCAACCAAU
rnacentral:lncRNA from 1 species